rnacentral:sRNA from 1 species
UAGGAUCUAGAUUUAACCCCUAAACUCCCUAGAUUUCUUUGGCGGCAGAACCCUCUGUCGUCCUUUUUUU